AAAACUUUCAACAACGGAUCUCUUGGUUCUGGCAUCGAUGAAGAACGCAGCGAAAUGCGAUAAGUAAUGUGAAUUGCAGAAUUCAGUGAAUCAUCGAAUCUUUGAACGCACAUUGCGCCCUCUGGUAUUCCAGAGGGCAUGCCUGUUCGAGCGUCAUUUC
rnacentral:rRNA from 1 species